rnacentral:tRNA from 1 species
CGGUUUUGAGAUAGCUCAGUUAGUUAGAGCGUCGGAUAUUGUAACUCCGAAGGUCGUUGGUGCAAAUCCAACUCUCAUCACCCA